UGCAGAGAACAGCACAUUGACAAUAGACUGACACCCUUUUUACCGAUAGCAUGGAAAGAAUGAAGUGGAAUGAGUGUCAGACUCUUCAAGUGCAAAAGAAGAAACUUGGGGAUAUGGAAAAAUCUUGUCCUUAAUGCACAUUUGCAUCCCAACCAAUUGUCUUCCUCUUUUACUUUUUUGGAGACACUCAUCACCCUCAUCAUCAAGAUUUUUUUUCCUGCCAAUUAUUUCUGCUGUACAGAUCACAAAUGUUGCCAUUUGUUCCCUUUUAACCCUUUCUUUCAACAUUCUAAUCUAUCUUGAACCUUUGAAAACAUCUGAAUAUAGUUCUAUGCUUCUUAGAAACAUAUAGGGUGUGGUAUUUAAUCAUUAGGUAUUGGUUUAAUUUACUUUUUCCUGCAAUAUUUAUUUGCAGAAUUAUUUGCAGUCAUUUAGAUAUCUUAGUAGACAGUUCCCCAACUGUUUUAAUAUCUUUCCUUUCGUUUCAUCUGCUUGUGCUUAAGGUUUUUGAUUGAAUUUUCUUUCUACUGAUAUCCUUAGUGAUUUUAGUGUUUUUUCCUUAUAUUUUCCUAUUUCUUACUUUCUGAUUUCUCCUUUGAUGUUGGAUCCCAUUAGGGCUAGACUUCAAAGCUAUCUCAGCUUCUGCCCUCAUUGGGGAAUUGGCCUUUUACUGGCUUUUAAUCCCAGCUCCAAGUCACCCCAGAUAGAUGCCUAGCCUGGUGCUGCUCCAAAUGCCUCUAGUUUUCUGAACCAGUUCCUUUUCCUGUUUAUUUAUCUAACUGAGUGCUGCUCAGGCAGUGCCCACUCUUGCAUUCCUUUACCUCCACUUCCUCCUUCUUUUAGUGCUUGGGAAGAGUUGAGGUCUGCUGCUUAUUUCCACAGAAUGGUAUGGUGAGGGCAAAGGCAGGGUGUGCCAGCUGAGACUUUAGCAGAAGCAGGAAAAUUGCUGGGUGGAUACCAAAAUACUUGGAUCAGGUUGUACACUCUGCCAGAGUGUGGGGGCUGGUUGGUAGAGGAGAUGCUGAGUAAGCUAGUUAGGGAUUAACAAUCUCUGCUCUAAUUCAAAAAACUAUUUUUUAUGAAUACAAAGAUACUUCUCAGUGUCUUUUUCUAUAGAGAAGUUGUAAUUCUUCUGUCCAUGGUAUAUAAUUAAUCUUUUGGAAAAUUUUUGAGAAUGAGGAUUGAAAAAAAAUUUACUCCUCCAUUUUGUUGAUUAUGUGACCUAUAAGGCCAUCUUUUCCCAAUAAUAGUUAUUCUUAUCUCUC
rnacentral:lncRNA from 1 species